GGUGGUUCUUGGAUGACGCACCUCAGAAUCAGGCUCCCUCCUCUCUGGUUCCGCGUGUGUCACCUGAGAACCACA
rfam:Myotis brandtii contig295264, whole genome shotgun sequence.